UAGAUUUUGUGGGGGCACUGCGAACAGAAUAAGCUCUAUCAGAUUAGAUGCUUUGAUGGCAAACCUUGAAUGAAACGAACCAGCCUAGUAAGGGCUUGACUUCUGGGAAGUGAACAUCAGACAAGGGUUCUAAUUAAUUUAGCUGAGGGAGGUGUGCAUAGGAAGUCAGGAGGGAGGUGUGAAUAGGGAGUCAGGAGAGCUCCCUCUCUCUCACAUCCCACCAGUACUCACUUCAUUGCCACGGCAGCCACUUAAAAAAUAAAAUAAAAUAAAACAAUCAAACAAACAGCCGGUUACUGGACACACAGCAGUUCCAACACCAAACAAUAAAACCUAAUUUGAUUGCACACUGAUUAAUCUUUUUCCAACGACAAUCACCAAUCACCAUUAAUUAUUCUUAUUCAAACUGAGAUGAGUGUAUUUAUCCACACACACAAACACAUUUCUCAUGAACAAUCAAUCUUCCAGUGCAAGAUCUUAUUUUUUUUCAAAUAUUCCAUGCAAACUUCAACGUUGUUGCAGUUGAUAAACCAGAAUCAAAAUUAGAGAGGACCCAUUCAGCUGCCUUAGUUUACCUUUCCAUGGUUAGCCUCAUGAGUAUGUAAACAGUUCUACAAGUAAACCUGGUGAUGAGGGAAUGUCAGUGGGGAACUGAGCAGCACAUAAGCCAAGUGAAGGAGAAGCAACAAAGGAGGAGGAGGAGGAGGAGGAGGAGGAAGAGGAAAUUAUUGGGGCAAGCAGCAAGCUUGUAGCAAAGGAUGAGGGUUUAAGCAUGAGCAUGAGCCAGGCUGCUAAAAGCACAAAACCAGGAGCCUCACUGUGAUUAGAAAGCCCGGAUUCAUAGCAAGAUGUAGAGAGGGCAGGACUCUUCACAUGGUCCUCCCCCUUCUUUCUCAUAUAGCUAGGUCUCCUGCCUUGGUUUUCGCUCCCAGUCCUUCUGUCCCUGUCCUUGUCCUGUUUGUUAGUCCGUGACGACUCCCUCAAUCAGCGUCACGGAGAAAAUGUAGGUGGCUCCAUCGCAAACCUUGCUUUGUGACAGGUCCAGCUUCUUGUGCACAGCUGCUGCAUGGCCCUGCCCCUGCACUUCCUCCACCGCUCGCCUUCUCUCUUGUAAGGUGUUGUCGAAGACUGUCACGUGCAUGACUGAUGCAAUGUAGUCGGAACUAUAUGACACGCCCUUAGGGUUUGACUGACUUACCAAUACCAAGUUGUGUAUGUGUUAGUAAGUGUUGAUGAACGUAGGCAGCUUUCUCUGCUGAAUUCUUCCAAGUUCUUAUCAUGGCUGCCACAGUGGGUUUGGAAGAGGAAAGAAAGCAAUACCACAGGUGGACGUUACAACAAGAACUUAUGUACGAUGGUUUGGGUUUUACAGAAGUUGGCAUUGCACAGCCAGCGAGAAUGUUGUUCAUUUCGUUCAUGGUACAAACCCGCAAGAGGAGUGAACGGCCUACUUCUAUGAGCCUUUCAAGUCCAGGCAAAGCAUACCUAUCGAAGUAUUCGUGAUUUACAUCAUUUCGUAGACGUGUCCUUUCUGAAUUAAAAACUCAUUAAAAUUGCAUCUAAUUUCAAGAAAUUGAGCAGAUUACAUAACCCCAACCAUCUUCUUCAAGGCUGGGUCCUGUCCAAUAGCCACACAAAUGGCGUGGGCUAUGUCGUUCGGUUGUCAGCAGUACAUCAAAGUGCUCCCAGAUAGAAAUUGCUGCAGAUUGCAACUCUUUUGAUUUGGAUAAGUCUACUUCUGCAUGUUGGUACUGCUCUGUAGGAGGAGCCAGGCGAUGGCUGCAACUCAGAGAUAUUUCUUGUGAUCUAUCAUCAACAUCGCUGGAAAGCAAUGCACGUCUUGAAGCACAA